rfam:Fukomys damarensis contig90621, whole genome shotgun sequence.
ACAAAGGCCCUUUUCAGGGCCGCCCAACUACACAAAAGGGCUGUA